GAGUCCUAGUGUGAUAAAGUUCAGAUAACUUAAACAACUAGGAUUGCAGAAUUUGGGUGAGACUGAGAUAUGGAUGAGGUGUUUCAACCGAUAGGAAAAAAGGGAAAGGGGAAGGCACCAAUAGGGAGUAAGGAAGAGGUGUGGUAGGAUUUGAAGUCCUAGUGUGAUGAGGUUCAUAUAACUUAAACAACUGAGAUUGAGGGAUUUUGGUGAGACUGGAAUAUGGAUGAGGUAUUCCAACCAAUAGGAAGAGAAGGAAAGGGAAUGACACCAAUAAGGAGUGAGAAAGAUAGUGAGGCCAAAGAGGGAGAAAGAGUUUGUAUAGGAGAGGGAUAGAGAAAAAAAUAUUUUCUUAUUUUAAUUUUCAAAAAAUAAAUUAAAUAGGUCUUAUUUAAAAUUCCUGACUAGGCUUUCUUAGGCCCAUAGAGCUCAAUUAAACUUAAUUAGAUACAUUUAAAAAUUACCCAUAUUAAAUUUAAACAAAAUAAAAUUUUAUUUAAAUUUAAUUAAAUUAAUUUCCCCAAAACUUUAUUAUUAUUUUUAUUUUUUCAAGAUCAUGCCACGGAA
rnacentral:misc_RNA from 1 species